GACGAACGCUGGCGGCGUGCGUAAUACAUGCAAGUCGAACGCUUUUUCUUUCACCGAGACUUGUCUCACCGAAAGAAAAAGAGUGGCGGACGGGUGAGUAACACGUGGGUAACCUGCCCUCGAGAAGGGGAUAACACUUGGAAACAGGUGCUAAUACCGUAUAACAAUAACUGCCGCAUGGCAGGUAUUUGAAAGGCGCUUUGCGUCACUCGAGGAUGGACCCGCAGUGCAUUAGCUAGUUGGUGAGGUAACGGCUCACCAAGGCGACGAUGCAUAGCCGACCUGAGAGGGUGAUCGGCCACACUGGGACUGAGACACGGCCCAGACUCCUACGGGAGGCAGCAGUAGGGAAUCUUCGGCAAUGGACGAAAGUCUGACCGAGCAACGCCGCGUGAGUGAAGAAGGUUUUCGGAUCGUAAAACUCUGUUGUUAGAGAAGAACAAGGAUGAGAGUAGAACGUUCAUCCCUUGACGGUAUCUAACCAGAAAGCCACGGCUAACUACGUGCCAGCAGCCGCGGUAAUACGUAGGUGGCAAGCGUUGUCCGGAUUUAUUGGGCGUAAAGCGAGCGCAGGCGGUUCUUUAAGUCUGAUGUGAAAGCCCCCGGCUCAACCGGGGAGGGUCAUUGGAAACUGGAGAACUUGAGUGCAGAAGAGGAGAGUGGAAUUCCAUGUGUAGCGGUGAAAUGCGUAGAUAUAUGGAGGAACACCAGUGGCGAAGGCGGCUCUCUGGUCUGUAACUGACGCUGAGGCUCGAAAGCGUGGGGAGCAAACAGG
rnacentral:rRNA from 1 species